AAGCUCUGAGGUGUUUGACAUGCAAGAUUGCAAAUCUUGAGGAGCAGACUAGCGUCUGCCGGGGCUUU
rnacentral:tRNA from 1 species